ensembl:lncRNA
UAGGUGUUGGAGCGUUCCCCGCUCUGGGAGGGUUGAAGCUGGGGCCGCCAGAGAAGGCCGGAGUAGCUUGCUGCCGCUCCAGGAGCCUCGAUGGAGAGGGGUCAUUUAGCUGGAGGGGGUCUCUCUCUCUCUCUGUGUGUUUGUAGUCUCUCGAUGGAGAGGGGUCAUUUAGCUGGAGGGGGUCUCUCUCUCUCUGUGUGUUUGUAGUCUCUCGAUGGAGAGGGGUCAUUUAGCUGGAGGGGGUCUCUCUCUCUCUCUCUGUGUGUUUGUAGUCUCUCGAUGGAGAGGGGUCAUUUAGCUGGAGGGGGUCUCUCUCUCGCUCUGUGUGUUUGUAGUCUCUCGAUGGAGAGGGGUCAUUUAGCUGGAGGGGUCUCUCUCUCUCUCUGUGUUUGUAGUCUCUCGAUGGAGAGGGGUCAUUUAGCUGGAGGGGGGGGUCUCUCUCUCUCUCUGUGUGUUUGUAGUCUCUCGAUGGAGAGGGGUCAUUUAGCUGGAGGGGGUCUCUCUCUCUCUCUGUGUGUUUGUAGUCUCUCGAUGGAGAGGG